UACGUAGGGACCGAGCGUUGUCCGGAAUCAUUGGGCGUAAAGAGCGUGUAGGCGGCCUUUUAAGUCCUGCGUGAAAUCCUGCGGCUCAACCCGCAGACGGUCGUGGGAAACUGGAAGGCUAGAGUGCGGGAGAGGAGAGUGGAAUUCCCGGGUGUAGCGGUGAAAUGCGCAGAUAUCGGGAAGAACACCCGUGGCGAAGGCGGCUCUCUGGAACGCAACUGACGCUGAGACGCGAAAGCGUGGGGAGCAAACAGG
rnacentral:rRNA from 1 species